GAUGAACGCUGGCGGCGUGCCUAAUACAUGCAAGUCGAGCGAACAGACGAGGAGCUUGCUCCUCUGACGUUAGCGGCGGACGGGUGAGUAACACGUGGAUAACCUACCUAUAAGACUGGGAUAACUUCGGGAAACCGGAGCUAAUACCGGAUAAUAUAUUGAACCGCAUGGUUCAAUAGUGAAAGACGGUUUUGCUGUCACUUAUAGAUGGAUCCGCGCCGCAUUAGCUAGUUGGUAAGGUAACGGCUUACCAAGGCAACGAUGCGUAGCCGACCUGAGAGGGUGAUCAGCCACACUGGAACUGAGACACGGUCCAGACUCCUACGGGAGGCAGCAGUAGGGAAUCUUCGGCAAUGGGCGAAAGCCUGACGGAGCAAUGCCGCGUGAGUGAAGAAGGUCUUCGGGUUGUAAAGCUCUGUUAUUAGGGAAGAAAAAAUGUGUAAGUAACCAUGCACGUCUUGACGGUACCUAAACAAAAAGCACCGGCUAACUACGUG
rnacentral:rRNA from 1 species